rnacentral:rRNA from 1 species
GAGCCUGCGGCUUAAUUUGACUCAACACGGGGAAACUCACCAGGUCCAGACACAAUGAGGAUUGACAGAUUGAGAGCUCUUUCUUGAUUUUGUGGGUGGUGGUGCAUGGCCGUUCUUAGUUGGUGGAGUGAUUUGUCUGCUUAAUUGCGAUAACGAACGAGACCUUAACCUGCUAAAUAGCCUGUAUUGCUUUGGCAGUACGCUGGCUUCUUAGAGGGACUAUCGGCUCAAGCCGAUGGAAGUUUGAGGCAAUAACAGGU